GGUUAAGCGACUAAGCGUACACGGUGGAUGCCCUGGCAGUCAGAGGCGAUGAAGGACGUGCUAAUCUGCGAUAAGCGUCGGUAAGGUGAUAUGAACCGUUAUAACCGGCGAUUUCCGAAUGGGGAAACCCAGUGUGAUUCGUCACACUAUCAUUAACUGAAUCCAUAGGUUAAUGAGGCGAACCGGGGGAACUGAAACAUCUAAGUACCCCGAGGAAAAGAAAUCAACCGAGAUUCCCCCAGUAGCGGCGAGCGAACGGGGAGGAGCCCAGAGCCUGAAUCAGUGUGUGUGUUAGUGGAAGCGUCUGGAAAGGCGCGCGAUACAGGGUGACAGCCCCGUACACAAAAAUGCACAUGCUGUGAGCUCGAUGAGUAGGGCGGGACACGUGGUAUCCUGUCUGAAUAUGGGGGGACCAUCCUCCAAGGCUAAAUACUCCUGACUGACCGAUAGUGAACCAGUACCGUGAGGGAAAGGCGAAAAGAACCCCGGCGAGGGGAGUGAAAAAGAACCUGAAACCGUGUACGUACAAGCAGUGGGAGCCUCUUAAUGGGGUGACUGCGUACCUUUUGUAUAAUGGGUCAGCGACUUAUAUUCUGUAGCAAGGUUAACCGAAUAGGGGAGCCGAAGGGAAACCGAGUCUUAACUGGGCGUUAAGUUGCAGGGUAUAGACCCGAAACCCGGUGAUCUAGCCAUGGGCAGGUUGAAGGUUGGGUAACACUAACUGGAGGACCGAACCGACUAAUGUUGAAAAAUUAGCGGAUGACUUGUGGCUGGGGGUGAAAGGCCAAUCAAACCGGGAGAUAGCUGGUUCUCCCCGAAAGCUAUUUAGGUAGCGCCUCGUGAAUUCAUCUCCGGGGGUAGAGCACUGUUUCGGCAAGGGGGUCAUCCCGACUUACCAACCCGAUGCAAACUGCGAAUACCGGAGAAUGUUAUCACGGGAGACACACGGCGGGUGCUAACGUCCGUCGUGAAGAGGGAAACAACCCAGACCGCCAGCUAAGGUCCCAAAGUCAUGGUUAAGUGGGAAACGAUGUGGGAAGGCCCAGACAGCCAGGAUGUUGGCUUAGAAGCAGCCAUCAUUUAAAGAAAGCGUAAUAGCUCACUGGUCGAGUCGGCCUGCGCGGAAGAUGUAACGGGGCUAAACCAUGCACCGAAGCUGCGGCAGCGACACUAUGUGUUGUUGGGUAGGGGAGCGUUCUGUAAGCCUGUGAAGGUGGCCUGUGAGGGUUGCUGGAGGUAUCAGAAGUGCGAAUGCUGACAUAAGUAACGAUAAAGCGGGUGAAAAGCCCGCUCGCCGGAAGACCAAGGGUUCCUGUCCAACGUUAAUCGGGGCAGGGUGAGUCGACCCCUAAGGCGAGGCCGAAAGGCGUAGUCGAUGGGAAACAGGUUAAUAUUCCUGUACUUGGUGUUACUGCGAAGGGGGGACGGAGAAGGCUAUGUUGGCCGGGCGACGGUUGUCCCGGUUUAAGCGUGUAGGCUGGUUUUCCAGGCAAAUCCGGAAAAUCAAGGCUGAGGCGUGAUGACGAGGCACUACGGUGCUGAAGCAACAAAUGCCCUGCUUCCAGGAAAAGCCUCUAAGCAUCAGGUAACAUCAAAUCGUACCCCAAACCGACACAGGUGGUCAGGUAGAGAAUACCAAGGCGCUUGAGAGAACUCGGGUGAAGGAACUAGGCAAAAUGGUGCCGUAACUUCGGGAGAAGGCACGCUGAUAUGUAGGUGAAGCGACUUGCUCGUGGAGCUGAAAUCAGUCGAAGAUACCAGCUGGCUGCAACUGUUUAUUAAAAACACAGCACUGUGCAAACACGAAAGUGGACGUAUACGGUGUGACGCCUGCCCGGUGCCGGAAGGUUAAUUGAUGGGGUUAGCGGUAACGCGAAGCUCUUGAUCGAAGCCCCGGUAAACGGCGGCCGUAACUAUAACGGUCCUAAGGUAGCGAAAUUCCUUGUCGGGUAAGUUCCGACCUGCACGAAUGGCGUAAUGAUGGCCAGGCUGUCUCCACCCGAGACUCAGUGAAAUUGAACUCGCUGUGAAGAUGCAGUGUACCCGCGGCAAGACGGAAAGACCCCGUGAACCUUUACUAUAGCUUGACACUGAACAUUGAGCCUUGAUGUGUAGGAUAGGUGGGAGGCUUUGAAGUGUGGACGCCAGUCUGCAUGGAGCCGACCUUGAAAUACCACCCUUUAAUGUUUGAUGUUCUAACGUUGGCCCCUGAUCGGGGUUGCGGACAGUGUCUGGUGGGUAGUUUGACUGGGGCGGUCUCCUCCUAAAGAGUAACGGAGGAGCACGAAGGUUGGCUAAUCCUGGUCGGACAUCAGGAGGUUAGUGCAAUGGCAUAAGCCAGCUUGACUGCGAGCGUGACGGCGCGAGCAGGUGCGAAAGCAGGUCAUAGUGAUCCGGUGGUUCUGAAUGGAAGGGCCAUCGCUCAACGGAUAAAAGGUACUCCGGGGAUAACAGGCUGAUACCGCCCAAGAGUUCAUAUCGACGGCGGUGUUUGGCACCUCGAUGUCGGCUCAUCACAUCCUGGGGCUGAAGUAGGUCCCAAGGGUAUGGCUGUUCGCCAUUUAAAGUGGUACGCGAGCUGGGUUUAGAACGUCGUGAGACAGUUCGGUCCCUAUCUGCCGUGGGCGCUGGAGAACUGAGGGGGGCUGCUCCUAGUACGAGAGGACCGGAGUGGACGCAUCACUGGUGUUCGGGUUGUCAUGCCAAUGGCACUGCCCGGUAGCUAAAUGCGGAAGAGAUAAGUGCUGAAAGCAUCUAAGCACGAAACUUGCCCCGAGAUGAGUUCUCCCUGACCCUUUAAGGGUCCUGAAGGAACGUUGAAGACGACGACGUUGAUAGGCCGGGUGUGUAAGCGCAGCGAUGCGUUGAGCUAACCGGUACUAAUGAACCGUGAGGCUUAACCUU
rnacentral:rRNA from 1 species